rnacentral:lncRNA from 1 species
UACAAUGACACUUGCAAAAUAUGCAGAACAAAAAUAAAGAACACUAGAAUUUUAACGAGGUUCAGCAAAUUUUGCCUACGUCCUCGGGCACUACCAAAUAUAUUUCACUCCAAAAUUACAAGUGAAAGUUUACAAAUAGGGAGAGAGAACAAUUGCCUUAAGUAGAGAAUGGCAAGUGUGGGAUGAAGAAAGUAAGAAAUGGUUAGGCCUAUUUAUAGUUGAGGUUUAAGGAUCAACUUGCAAUGUCCCUAUACAAUUAGGGACCAAAAUUGCAAUUAUCCCAUGCCAACUUUUAACCCAACUUGCCAACCAAUCUUACUUUCUACUUUCGGUGCCUUUCGGUGCCAACUUUCUGCCACUAUUCAUCUUUGAAAAGUCAAAGAUUGUAGGUAUCCAAUAAUCUCCACCUUGAAGAUUUGAUUAGGAUAAUCUUAUCUUCACACAAUUCUUUCUACCUUUAACAACAAUACUUGAUAGUGCCUUCUUCAACUGUUAAACUUGCAGGAUAUUGAUCAAGUUCAAACAAUGUUCGAACUUGGUUGUUGUUACCACCUUGGUCAUCAUAUCUGCGGGAUUAUCUGCAGUCUUGAUCUUCUGAAGACAAAUUUUCCCCUCUUCAAUAAUUUCCCGCGCAAAAUGGAAUCGUACGUCGAUAUGUUUUGUACGUGCAUGAUAGACUUGAUUCUUUGCUAAAUGAAUAUCACUUUGACUAUCACAAUACACGUUAAUAUGCUCCUGAACCAACCCCAAGGUUUUAGCCAUACCUUGUAACCAAAUAGCCUCCUUUACAGCCUCUGUUACAGCCAUGUAUUCGGCUUCUGUGGUUGACAAUGCAACUGUAGAUUGUAGUGUAGACUUCCAACUUAUUGGUCCUCUAGCAAGUGUAAACACAUAACCGGUGGUUGAUCUUCGCUUGUCCAAAUCACCGGCAUAGUCAGAAUCAACGUACCCAAUAACACCUUUACCAAGUGUAUUAUCCUGCUUGAACAGUAAUCCAACAUCUACGGUUUUCUGAAUAUACCGUAGAAUCCAUUUCACAGCUUGCCAAUGUCCUUUUCCAGGAUUAUGCAUAUACCUGCUCACUAUACUAACUGCCUGUGAAAUAUCGGGUCUUGUACACACCAUUGCAUACAUCAAGCUACCCACUGCAUUAGAAUACGGAACUUGCAACAUGUAUUCUCGUUCCGUAUUCGUCGAAGGAGAUAGUUGUGCAGAAAGCUUGAAAUGAGAAGCCAACGGGGUACUUACAGGUUUGGUCUGCUCGUUCAUGCCAAACUGCUGUAGUACUUUCUUCAAAUACUGCUUCUGAGACAAGCUAACUCUGCCAUGAGCUCUAUCUCUACAUAUUUCCAUGCCAAGAAUCUUCUUAGCUUCACCUAGAUCUUUCAUCUCAAACUCGAGAUUGAGUUGAGUCUUCAAUCUCUCAAUCUCAACUUUGCUCUUAGAUGCUAUCAGCAUAUCAUCAACAUAUAAGAGCAAGUAUAUGAAAGUUCCUUCUUGUAGCUUCUGAAAAUAUACGCAAUAAUCAAAUUUACUUCUUGUGUACCUUUGCCCUUUCAUGAACUGAUCAAAUCGCUUGUACCACUGCCUCGGAGAUUGUUUCAAUCCAUAAAGCGACUUUGUCAGUUUGCAAACCCAAUUUUCUUUAUCAGCAACAUUGAAUCCAUCAGGCUGAGUCAUAUAGAUUUCCUCUUCCAAAUCACAGUGUAAAAAUGCUGUCUUCACAUCAAGCUGAACUAGUUCAAGAUCGUAUUGCGCAACCAAAGCUAGCAAAAUUCGAAUAGACGAAUGCUUCACAACUGGAGAAAACACUUCAUUGUAGUCUAUUCCUUCUUUCUGAGCGUAACCCUUUGCUACCAAUCUAGCCUUGUAUCGAAUUUCAUUUUUACCAGGAAAUCCUUCCUUCUUUGCAUAUACCCAUUUGCAUCCAAUUGCCUUCUUUCCCUUGGGCAGUCUCACCAACUCCCAAGUCCUAUUUUUAUGAAGAGACUGCAUUUCUUCAUUCAUAGCUUGCUUCCACUUUACACCAUCAGAGUUACUUAUUGCUUCUGUGUAAGUGGAAGGAACAUCAUCAUCUGCAAUUGGAAGUGCAUAGGCCACCAUAUCAUCAAAGCGAGCAGGCUUACGAAUCUCUCUUCUUGGCCUCCUAUAUGCAAUUGAAUCUUGUUGCUGUAGAAGUUCUUGGGUCGAAACUUCUUCAUCAUUUGUUCUUUCAAUAUUAGCUGGAUCAUCAUUAACCUUUUCAAACUCCACCUGCUGCAAAGUACUACUGGUUUUGUCAUCCUUUUGUGAAUCCUCGUUCUUCAUCAUGGUUGAUUCAUCAAAAGUUACAUCUCUACUGAAAACAAUCUUCCUUGUAUCAGGACACCAGAGACGGUAUCCUUUUACACCACCAGUUAUACCCAUGAAUAAUGCUUUCUUUGCUCUUGGGUCUAACUUAGAUUCUUUUACAUGAUAAUAUGCAGUGGAACCAAAAACAUGUAAAGAAUCAUAAUCAGUAGCAGGUUUACCAGUCCACAUCUCCAUAGGAGUUUUUCCAUUUAUUGCAGCUGAUGGCAAUCGGUUAAUUAGAUGGCACGCAUAUGUAACUGCCUCAGCCCAAAAUUCCUUGCCCAAUCCAGCAUUGGACAACAUACAUCGAACUUUCUCCAGUAUAGUCCGAUUCAUGCGUUCUGCCACCCCAUUCUGCUGUGGUGUAUCUCGAACAGUGAAGUGUCGUAUAAUGCCCUCAUCUUGACAUACUUGUAGAAAUGGAUCAUUUUUGUACUCAGUACCAUUAUCUGAUCGAAGUCGUUUGACCUUUCGACCUGUCUGAGUCUCCACCAUCUUCUUCCACUUCAGAAAUGCAUCCAAAACUUUAUUUUUUCUUUUCAUUAGAUACACCCAUACUUUUCUUGAAUAAUCAUCAAGAAAAGUGACAAAAUAGUGCAUACCUCCCAAAGAAGCCACUUUGGUAGGUCCCCACACAUCACUGUGAACAUAGUCCAGAAUUCCUUUCGUAUUGUGAAUUGCUGAACCAAAUUUUACCCUCGUCUGCUUGCCCAGAACACAAUGUUCACAGAAUUCCAAUUUGCAAGAAUUUGCACCUUUCAACAAGCCUUGCUUCGCCAAAGUCUGCAAAGCUUUUUCACCAGCAUGUCCCAAUCGCCUAUGCCAUAACCUGGUAGCCUCUGAAUCUGCAUCUUUCGCAGAAGCUGUUGAUGUUGAUCCAAUAACUGUACUUCCAUUUAAAUAGUACAAGUUAUUUCUUCUAGUGCCUUUCAUCACCGUCAAUACCCCAGCUACUACCUUUAGUAAUCCAUCUCUCAAAGUGAUUGUGAGCCCUUUAGAUUCUAGGGCCCCUAAUGAGAUGAGAUUUUUCUUCAAGCUGGGUACAUAGCGAACAUCUGUCAGAACUUGGAUUGAGCCGUCAUGGUUCUUAAAUUUGAUUGUACCUACACCCAUUGUCUUACAGGCACUAUCAUUGCCCAUAAAAACAACUCCACCUUCUAGUUCUUCAAGACUAGAAAACCAGUCCUUAUUAGGACACAUAUGGUAAGUACAUCCUGAAUCCAAAAUCCAUUCAUCCGUUUGACAUGCCAUUGCCAUGCCAACCAAGCUAAAGUCUGACUCCUCAUCAUGAUCCGCUACACAUGCAUUAGAAAUAGCCUUGCCCUUUUGUAGCUUAGGACAAUUCUUUUUCCAAUGCCCUUUUUCACGGCAAAAGGCACAUUCAUCUUUGGCGGGUCUCCCUUUGGACUUUCCCCUUCUACCAGAUUUGCUGCUGUGUGAACGACCUCUUACUGUUAAGACUUCUGCGGUUGUAUCUCUGUGAUCUCUUUUAUCUUUCUUUCGAGUCUCAGAUCUAUACAACGCACUACAGACUGCAUCAAAUGUGAUCGUGUCCUUCCCAUGAAGCAAUGUGGUGGUAAGAUGAUCAUAUUCAUCAGGAAGGGAAUUUAACAACAAUAAUGCCUUGUCUUCAUCUUCAAAUUUCUCAUCCAAAUUUAGCAAGUCUGCUAAAAUUUUAUUGAAUGAGUUCACAUGGUCAUUCAUCGACAUACCGGGUGCAUACGUGAAUCGAUAAAGUUUCUUUUUCAUAUAAAGCCUAUUUUCAAGACUUUUCGUUAGAAACUUUUCUUCCAGUAUAUCCCAUAACUUCUUCGCUGAUGUCUCCCUCAUGACAGAGUACUUCUGCUCUUUGGCCAAACAUAGGCGGAUUGUACCACACGCCUGUCUAUUGAUCUUGGCCCACUCCUUGUCAUCCAUCUUGUCAGGUUUUUCUUCAAGGGCUAUAUCUAGCUCUUGCUGACAUAAGACAUCCAGGAUCUCACAUUGCCACAUACCAAAAUUAUUGGUACCGUCAAAUUUCUCUACUUCAAAUUUUGCAUUUGUCACAGUAGUCCUUGCUGAUGACGAUGCUGCUGCCAUUUUUCUCCUCAAUCCCAACUACUGUAUACGUGAACAGUACCAUAUAUGUGAAUAGUGUCGUAUACGUGAACAGUAUCGUAUACGUAAAUAGUGCCGUAUACGUGAAUAGUACCGUAAACGGUCGUAUUCCCCAAGUACGAACCUGGCUCUGGUACCAAUUGUUGCGCGGAAGCGUGUGAAAGAGUAAAAUUAUUGUACUGAAAAAUCACACUAAGUUCAAUUCCCAGGAAAGAGAGGUGGAUCACGAGGAUCGCUUACAUACCAGAUCUUUCCUAGACAGAAAUCCCUCUAUCGUAAUUUAAUAGCACAAUAAAUCACUACAAUGACACUUGCAAAAUAUGCAGAACAAAAAUAAAGAACACUAGAAUUUUAACGAGGUUCAGCAAAUUUUGCCUACGUCCUCGGGCACUACCAAAUAUAUUUCAUUCCAAAAUUACAAGUGAAAGUUUACAAAUAGGGAGAGAGAACAAUUGCCUUAAGUAGAGAAUGGCAAGUGUGGGAUGAAGAAAGUAAGAAAUGGUUAGGCCUAUUUAUAGUUGAGGUUUAAGGAUCAA